rnacentral:rRNA from 1 species
UACGUAGGGUGCGAGCGUUGUCCGGAAUUAUUGGGCGUAAAGGGCUCGUAGGCGGUUUGUCGCGUCGGGAGUGAAAACCAGGUGCUUAACACCUGGCCUGCUUUCGAUACGGGCAGACUAGAGGUAUGCAGGGGAGAACGGAAUUCCUGGUGUAGCGGUGAAAUGCGCAGAUAUCAGGAGGAACACCGGUGGCGAAGGCGGUUCUCUGGGCAUGACCUGACGCUGAGGAGCGAAAGUGUGGGGAGCGAACAGG